AUGCCCGAACCAAGUAGCAGCAACACCAGUACUUCAGGACGAACUACAGCAGCAAAACCUUUUUGUUUCAGUGGCACCAAACGGACUGUCUCAAUUUUACCAGAUAAAGAACCCGAGAUACUUCCGAAAGCAGGCACAACUUUUACCAUCACCAUGAGUGGAGCCCGUGCUACUUCUCCCGAACCAACAAAGAAAUCUGUGUUUGCCCGGUUGGAUAACAAAAGCUCUAAUUUGUCAGGAGAUGUGGCUGAUACGGAUUUUUCUCUUGCUGGAGAGAAAAAAUUUCCUUUUGAUGACAAUGGACUGCUACCAACAGUGGAGAUUAAAAAUGACCUUUACACCCCAACUGAGGAAGCCUACUCGAAGGAAGAUGGAAGAGGCUUGCACGAGCCUGUAGCAUGGGUGAAACCCAUCAUUCACAGUGAAGGAAUUCUUGCAAAUCCAGCAGUGAAACCUAAAACAGGCCCCAAAGAGAGACUCGGAAUGACCUCGUCUGCUUCUCCUUUUCUUUCAUCUCAAGCUAACCUGUUUGAUCAGCAUUAUACCGUUGUCAACUCCUCGUACAUAUCUUCUACAGAUGGGCUUGGUAAUAAAGAAGUCGUGUUGGAUGAUGAUGAUGUCUUCUACACCAAUGACAUGCAAUCCAACAACAUGCACCUCUCAAAGGUUGUCGAAAAGAAAGUGUCCAUCCCUAGCAUGGAUUACGAAUUGAUGGAAAAACCCUCCGUCAAAAACAGAAUUUCAUUGAAUCGACCAAUUUUACAUGGGGGAAUAGCCAAAGUAACAGGUGGGAAACCGUCUUUAACUGCCAAGGAGAGAAUCACUAUGAGCUUAGCACCAGAGACCAAAAUCAGAACCACCGGUGCAAUCCUGGCCAGAAGUAGAAUUCGUCCGAACCCAUUGGCCAGAGAGAGCGCAAGUGUGAAACCCAUCAGAGAAAGAAUCACUUUCAACUCUGCUUCAUCAGUCAGAGAUAGAGUAGGAGUCAAACCAACGUCAACAGUUCGAGAUAGCAUUAGCGUAAGAGCAGCACUUCCACCUAGAGAGAGAAUUAGUUUAAAACCAGCCAUCCCUGCAAGAGAAAGAAUUAGUUUAAAAACAACUCCUUCUGUUAGAGAUAGAAUUAGUUUAAAAUCGACUCCCGCUGUUAGAGAUAGGAUCAGUUUAAAGUCAACUCCCUCUGUCAGAGAAAGGAUUAGUUUAAAACAAACUCCCUCUGUUAGAGAAAGGAUUAGUUUGAAACAAACUCCCUCUGUUAGGGAAAGGAUUAGUUCAAAACCAACCCCAUCUGUUAGAGAAAGGAUUACUUUAAAAUCGGGAACUUCUGCCAAAGGAAAAUCAGCGUUAAUCCAUCUAUUGCUAGAAGGGAAUUAAUUAGUUUAAAAUCGCCUGGCUCCAGAGAGAGAAUCUCUACCAAACCACAGGCUCCAUCAAGAACAGGAUUAGUUUAAAUACUGCCACUUCUGUCAGAGAAAGAAUCAGCGCGGAUAGUAGGACAGCCAAUGGUAGAUCAAAACUUUUAAACAUGGACAAGAUUGCACACAAAGGCGUGCCUGUGAGAGCUCAUUUUGGUGACUUUCAAAAAAGCAUUGAAAAAUAACGGUGUCUCUAAGCAACAAAAUAGAACUUCCAAUGUUUUUAGUAGGUUAGGCUAAGUUUACUGCGGAGCAUUUAUUUGUGCUUUCCAUCAUAACAGAUCUGUAAACCUCAUUUCCUACCUGAUUGUAAGAUCGGUUUCUUAAUCUCAGAUUGAACAGGCUUACCAUUAGUCAUUUCAGGCUUUCCAAUUACUAGAAGAAUUAAUGAUAAAGAAUAAUCUUCUGCCUUCUAGAGAUUCCAGACAAUAGGGAGUAGCAGGAUUGUUGAGGAUGUAGACUCAUUUUUUAGUUUCAUUUGGAAAAUCGUGACUUACUAGUAAGAAGGUUGCAAUGAUGAAUUUCUGUUAAAUGUUGUGAAAAAAAUUGAAGAAGUGUUAUCAGCAUUUUGGCAGUUACUUACCUUCAACCAACCAGUCCGCAUCAAACAUAUUGUGCAGAGUAGUCUUUAGUCGCUUUAGAUUUGUGUUUAUCAAAAGAAGGACAUUUUUUUUAUCAACUUUAUAGUGUCAAUUAUACUCUUCUUGAUUAUUUUUAGGUUCCUUUUUUGAAUUACUUUCAUGCCAAGUUCGUGCAGGCUUCAUAGGGACUGGGGAAACUAAGAACAAUGGGGUAAACACUGAGAAUUGAAAGUGGUGGGAAGAAUCAUUGAAAAUACAGAGACUCUCAGGAAAACCCCUCAAUGAAGGGGUAUUUUUAGACUAUGUAACGACUGUCAAAAUUUUAAGUCCUGAGCCAACUGAUGCUGUAUUCUGCCGUUUUGUCCCAUGCAAACACUGGAAUAUUAAAGAAAAUAGGAAAUUUGACUUUUGAAUAGAAUCGUUUUCCAGCAGAAGAGGGUACUGUAACAUUAGUUGUCGUUUUGGAAAAUUAAUUAUCAUCUUAGCGAAUACGUCAUCGUGUUUUUAUGAUGAUCAGAUGCCCCUGUGCAAAAUCACAGGCCAAAAUGUGCAAAGCUAUUAAUGACUAUUGCUCCAAACAGGUAUUUUUUAAAGAAGCUCUUUUACAGGCAAACUCUUCAAUUACUUUGAUGUCUGUUUAUGUUAAAUAUUAAGAUAGCUCUUGGAUAAAUACUCUAAGUCUCUGUUGACUUAAUCGCAUUAUGACUUGAUUUGUAGAUUUUAAACGUAACAUCAAAUGGAAUCAUCCUCAUGAAGAUGUUCUUUGUGUUGUAAUGGAAGUGUUGCCUGUAUGUUUUUGAUCAUGCAACAAGGAUUUAUUUAUGAAUUGUAUGAGACGAUAGCAAUAUCUGCAUGAAGGUGUUACCGUAGCAUUAUGAACCUUUUUGACUGAGGCAUUUUAUUUCUUAUUCUUUUUAUACAUCAUCCUAAAAGUGCAUUGUCAUAGUUUGUCCACUAGUCUGGCAGCCAUAGUGUAUUUGUGAAAGCCAUCUGAAGAAGCAAUCUUUAACUACGCUUGCUAUUGAAUAAAUCCAAUGAGCUGAUUCAGCUAGAACCUGCAUGUCACCACUCACAGCAGCAUUUUUGCGUAAUUUUUUAGAUGAUUAAAAUUACCCACAAAACACUCAAUGUUAAAUAUUAAUCUGGAGCUGAACUUUUUAGCUGGAGCUAUGAAAAUUAGUCAACCCUCUCUGUAUUAUUCAUAAUUUUCUUCCUUUAUUUCCUUUCUUGCUACAUAGAAAACUUAACUAGUAUGACUAACAAGCACUAUUGAUUAUUAAUUAUUUUAAUGUUUAGGUUUUUUGAGAUUUAACUUUACUCGGAUUGUUCUUUCCUUAUUUUCUUUUCUUUAAUUUUGCUCUACACAUACCUGUGAACUUUGUUCUCCUUUUUUUUUGAAUUUACUUGUGCCUUACAUCAUUAUCAGGACGAUUUUUCAACGAAGUAUGGAGUACCUAAUAGUAAUCAUCAUGACAAGUAUAAUAAUUUUAUUCUUCCUCUUGAAUGUUCUAUCAUAGCCAAAUUCGACCACCUUUUGACAAAAAUUUCACACAAAAAUAUGUAGCAUCUAGGUUUGCAGGUUUUGAGAAUUUUAAGGCUUAAAUGAAGAAUUUUACUGUUCUAAAUUUGAACUUUCAAUGGGUAUUUAACAAGGUCUAUAAUACUUGCCCAAUUUUAACACAGAUGAAACUGUUUCAAGAUUUGAUGGUGUCAAGCAUUAUUCACUUAUGCAUUAGCCUGCAGUGUGUUGAAAAUUUUCAAUUGCACUGUUGAUUUAUUUUUCCAAUUUCGCAAAUUCCUCAAAGGGUAAAUUUUGGAAUUUUAUUUGAAAUGUGCAUGAUUGAAUCAAAACACCUUAAAUUCUUCUAAAUACUUUCCUACUAUUAAUUAAGUUGAAGAAUUUUCUUGCAAAUUGUUGUAUCAAAAGUCAGAAACAGUAAAAUUUCUGAAAUCUGCCUUUUGUAUGUCCUUUUGAUACUAUUUUUAUUUCAGCUAUACCACUCAUGUCAUCAGGUACCUACAUGCUGUUGGUGUAUUGUAAUUGGUUUUAUUUUAACCUCGUAAAUAAAAUUUAACUCCUCUUAAUUUCCUAACGAUUUUCAGUUUUUCCAUGUUUUUAAUAUUUAACUACCAUGGAUUUUCCCAUGUCAACUUGAAGAAAAGAAGGCACCCUUCCUCUCCUCUGGAAUAAGCUUUUGACAUACUGAAAAGAAGCACCCAAUCCGAAGCAUUUAAAUGAAGUCAGAAAUGCUGGCAUUGGUCAGAAGUAUUAGAAAACAGUGGGACUUUUUAAACAAAAAUCAAGCGCUACACUUUAUUUGCCUCCCUUGAAUUGUGCCUAUCACAAUGGAACAAACUUUUUUGCUUUUUUCAGAAACGACUUAUCUGACACUUUAUGUACAUAACUUGGUGCUCUCACAAGUCGCCUAUAAGCUGUGAUUUCCUUCUGAUACAUGUUACUUAUUCAUAACGGUUGAUAAACAAGCACCCACUUUUAACAAAGUUACCCUAGUUUUGCUGUACGUAUUAAUCAAAGAGAAUCAGUUUACAGUCAAUAAAUGUCAGCUUUUUUUUGUCAGUAACAAUUGAAAAACACUCCAGCAAAACUUUAAUGUUCAAGCAAACAUUUGUUUGUUUGUCCCUUUCUAGAUCACAACUGGUCGGUGCAAAUAUAAACACUGCACUGUUUUUUAAUUGAAGUGAUAUGAUUCUUUUCAUUGAAUCCCAGUUGCUCCAGUGACCAAUAAAAAUCAAAUGAAUACCACUUCAUCUACGAGGUUUUAUUUUCAACCCAAUGAAAGUGCCUAAUUUAUCUAGGUCAUGUUCUGAGUUCAGAUCAUUACCAGGCUAUGAAAUCAAUUGAAGUUAUUUGGACAAGUUUAAUAGUCAUAAAGUUUGAGGCAUAGUUAGAUGUCAUCAAGCAGAAGUGAUUCUGCUUCACAUGAGAAGUUCUGAUAUAACCCAUAUUAUGCACCUGCCUAAGUGCUAUAAUGCAAAGAUAUAAUAAUACUUCUUAUUUCCUUGUGAAGAUCGACCAUCUUAGAUUUAUGACAUCUAUAUCUGCAGAGAAAUAA
rnacentral:lncRNA from 1 species